CAGAGGGUGCGAGCGUUAAUCGGAAUUACUGGGCGUAAAGCGUGCGUAGACGGUUAUUUAAGUCGGAUGUGAAAGCCCCGGGCUCAACCUGGGAAUUGCAUUCGAGACUGAAUAGCUAGGGUACGGUAGAGGGAAGUGGAAUUUCCGGUGUAGCGGUGAAAUGCGUAGAUAUCGGAAGGAACAUCAGUGGCGAAAGCGACUUCCUGGACCAGUACCGACGUUCAGGCACGAAAGCGUGGGGAGCAAACAGGAUUAGAUACCCUGGUAGUCCACGCCAUAAACGAUGAGGACUAGACGUUGGAGGGUUAAGCCUUUCAGUGUCGUAGCUAACGCGCUAAGUCCUCCGCCUGGGGAGUACGGCCGCAAGGUUG
rnacentral:rRNA from 1 species